GGAAGGGUGGCAGAGUGGUCGAUUGCACCGGUCUUGAAAACCGGCGAUGUGAGAGCAUCCGUGGGUUCGAAUCCCACCCCUUCCGCCA
rnacentral:tRNA from 1 species